UACAGAGGGGGCAAGCGUUGUUCGGAAUUACUGGGCGUAAAGGGCGCGUAGGCGGCCUGUUAAGUCGAACGUGAAAUCCCCGGGCUCAACCCGGGAACUGCGUCCGAUACUGGCAGGCUUGAAUCCGGGAGAGGGAUGCGGAAUUCCAGGUGUAGCGGUGGAAAUGCGUAGAUAUCAGGAGGAACACCGGUGGCGAAGGCGGGUCUCUGGGCCGAUACUGCGCUGAGGAGCGAAAGCGUGGGGAGCGAACAGG
rnacentral:rRNA from 1 species